CUCCCGGUAGCCAAGUUGGUUUAAGGCGCCAGACUGUAAUGGAUUGUUAUCUGGAGAUCGGGUGUUCGACUCACCCCCGGGAGA
rnacentral:tRNA from 1 species